UUAGCUGAGUUGGUAGAGCGUUCGGUUCUUAGCCGAGUGGUCCGCGGUUCGAGCCCGCGA
rnacentral:tRNA from 1 species